GAUGAACGCUGGCGGCGUGCCUAAUACAUGCAAGUCGAGCGAACGGACGAGAAGCUUGCUUCUCUGAUGUUAGCGGCGGACGGGUGAGUAACACGUGGAUAACCUACCUAUAAGACUGGGAUAACUUCGGGAAACCGGAGCUAAUACCGGAUAAUAUUUUGAACCGCAUGGUUCAAAAGUGAAAGACGGUCUUGCUGUCACUUAUAGAUGGAUCCGCGCUGCAUUAGCUAGUUGGUAAGGUAACGGCUUACCAAGGCAACGAUGCAUAGCCGACCUGAGAGGGUGAUCGGCCACACUGGAACUGAGACACGGUCCAGACUCCUACGGGAGGCAGCAGUAGGGAAUCUUCCGCAAUGGGCGAAAGCCUGACGGAGCAACGCCGCGUGAGUGAUGAAGGUCUUCGGAUCGUAAAACUCUGUUAUUAGGGAAGAACAUAUGUGUAAGUAACUGUGCACAUCUUGACGGUACCUAAUCAGAAAGCCACGGCUAACUACGUGCCAGCAGCCGCGGUAAUACGUAGGUGGCAAGCGUUAUCCGGAAUUAUUGGGCGUAAAGCGCGCGUAGGCGGUUUUUUAAGUCCGAUGUGAAAGCCCACGGCUCAACCGUGGAGGGUCAUUGGAAACUGGAAAACUUGAGUGCAGAAGAGGAAAGUGGAAUUCCAUGUGUAGCGGUGAAAUGCGCAGAGAUAUGGAGGAACACCAGUGGCGAAGGCGACUUUCUGGUCUGUAACUGACGCUGAUGUGCGAAAGCGUGGGGAUCAAACAGGAUUAGAUACCCUGGUAGUCCACGCCGUAAACGAUGAGUGCUAAGUGUUAGGGGGUUUCCGCCCCUUAGUGCUGCAGCUAACGCAUUAAGCACUCCGCCUGGGGAGUACGACCGCAAGGUUGAAACUCAAAGGAAUUGACGGGGACCCGCACAAGCGGUGGAGCAUGUGGUUUAAUUCGAAGCAACGCGAAGAACCUUACCAAAUCUUGACAUCCUUUGACAACUCUAGAGAUAGAGCUUUCCCCUUCGGGGGACAAAGUGACAGGUGGUGCAUGGUUGUCGUCAGCUCGUGUCGUGAGAUGUUGGGUUAAGUCCCGCAACGAGCGCAACCCUUAAGCUUAGUUGCCAUCAUUAAGUUGGGCACUCUAAGUUGACUGCCGGUGACAAACCGGAGGAAGGUGGGGAUGACGUCAAAUCAUCAUGCCCCUUAUGAUUUGGGCUACACACGUGCUACAAUGGACAAUACAAAGGGCAGCGAAACCGUGAGGUCAAGCAAAUCCCAUAAAGUUGUUCUCAGUUCGGAUUGUAGUCUGCAACUCGACUACAUGAAGCUGGAAUCGCUAGUAAUCGUAGAUCAGCAUGCUACGGUGAAUACGUUCCCGGGUCU
rnacentral:rRNA from 1 species